GAUGAACGCUGGCGGCGUGCCUAAUACAUGCAAGUCGAGCGAACAGACGAGGAGCUUGCUCCUCUGACGUUAGCGGCGGACGGGUGAGUAACACGUGGAUAACCUACCUAUAAGACUGGGAUAACUUCGGGAAACCGGAGCUAAUACCGGACAAUAUAUUUAACCGCAUGGUUCAAUAGUGAAAGACGGUUUUGCUGUCACUUAUAGAUGGAUCCGCGCCGCAUUAGCUAGUUGGUAAGGUAACGGCUUACCAAGGCAACGAUGCGUACCCGACCUGAGAGGGUGACCGGCCAAACUGGAACGGAGAAACGGUCCAGCCUCCUACGGGAGGAAGCAGUAGGGAAUCUUCCGAAAUGGGCGAAAGCCUGCCGGAGCAACGCCGCGUGAGUGAUGAAGGUUUUCGGAUCGUAAACUUCUGUUAUUAGGGAAGAACAAAUGUGUAAGUAACUAUGCACGUCUUGACGGUACCUAAUCAGAAAGCCACGGCUAACUACGUG
rnacentral:rRNA from 1 species